rnacentral:rRNA from 1 species
CCUACGGGUGGCAGCAGUGAGGAAUAUUGGUCAAUGGACGCAAGUCUGACCCAGCCAUGCCGCGUGCAGGAUGACGGCUCUAUGAGUUGUAACCUGCUUUUGUACGGGGGUAAACGCAGAUACGCUUAUCUGUCUGAAAGUAUCGUACGACUAAGGAUCGGCUAAGUCCGUGCCAGCAGCCCCGGUAAUACGGAGGAUUCAAGCGUUAUCCGGAUUUAUUGGAUUUAAAGGGUGCGUAGGCGGUCGGAUAAGUUAGCGGUGAAAUCCCGAGGCUCAACUUCGGAAUUGCCUCUGAUACUGUUCGGAUAGAGAGUAGUUGCGGUAGGCGGAAUGUAUGGUGUAGCGGUGAAAUGCUUAGAGAUCAGACAGAACACCGAUUGCGAAGGCAGCUUACC